AAGGGGAAAAUCAAGAACACACUAAAAGGUUGAUCAACUUGGUAAAAGAAAAUUAGAAAGCCUGUGUGAAGAUCACCUGCUUUUUGCAAUUAAAUAGCACCAGAAUUACCUGGAAGACUUCUUACAUUUUUACCUUUACUUUCAGCUCCACAGACAGUGGAAGCAAGGCAGAGAGGCAACUGGAAAGAGAUAGAUGGAUGAGAGCUGCCGGAAAUGAGAGCUUAGCAGAACAGAAUGUGAAAUCCAAGGACGUUUUCCAAGAGAUGCCUGCCUUCUUAUAUGGUCUACUUCUAUUCCAGAGUGGUGAUAUUCCAAUCCAUGUAUAUUUUAGAGAGGAGGCAAGUAUUAUACAUUAUUUUUCAUGAGUUAGCUCUUCCCCUAUGCUUGAAGGGUCUGUUUGGUUAGCAGUAAAGUGAUGGAGAAUAUAUUUAUCUUAAUACUCAGACUAUUUGAAGUAGGAAGAGUGUGAUGACAACUCUAGGUCAAUAGCUUUAAAAACAUGCACUCUAAAUGAACAAAAACUUCCCCUGUUGUGAGAGGGGGAUGAAUUUAGUAAAAAGAACAAGGACAUAGAUAACUGUGCUACUCAUCUGAGUACUCAUCUGAGUAGCAAAAGGAGUGCCUGAACUCCCCAAAAGUACUCGAAGCAGAUUUUAUUCCUCACAGGUGUUAUGUGUAUCCUUUGCUUUCUUCCUGGGCCCUCCUUACACCAAGCUUCUAAUUUUGUUUUGUGCCCAAAUUUAGCAACCAUCUCCACUUACUAACCAUAUCAUUAACUUGUUUAUGUUUCAAGCUCUCACCAUAAUAUGUGAAUAGUAUUUACUUCUAUAGGUUGUUGGGAGGAUAAGAUAUGAUAAUGUGCUUAGAAUGUUCUAAUAUACGACCUGUCACAUGGUAAAUACUCAAUAUAGUAUGUUGGGUCCGUCCCUUUCUAUGAUCUUCAUCUCUGUAGACAGAUGAAACCAUGAGUCCAUGCUGAGCAUGAUCAGGAAAUAUAGAUCAUAUCUGACUGUGAGUAAGAAAGUUAAACUAUUCUUGCCAUUUGUGUGUGAGGGUCCAGAGGGAGGAGAGUUACCUAUUAUAUGAGUAAAUGGACUGCUUACAAACAUCUGCUUUGAUAAGGCCAGUGCUUCUCCUAGAAAAUCAAAUCCUGCAUUAAUGGGUUUGCCUUCUUUCUAGGUCACACAGGAAAGUAUAGAAUCUGGCCUGAAAGUUUCUCUAUUCCUUUAAAUCAUUGCAAAUUUCUGCAUUUAUCUUUCAAAGACAAAACAAAGCAUUAAAAGAAGUCAGGCAAGUAGAAAAGAAACUGUACCACAGGAUGCUUUCUGUUCAUUGACGACUGAAUGGAGAUUUAAAUAAAACAGGGAGGUAGACAACUUAGUUAAAUGAU
rnacentral:lncRNA from 1 species